rnacentral:piRNA from 1 species
GCCCCAGGUAGAGCCCAGGACCCAGUGU